UUUCUCCUUUUCUUCCUUAGCCUUCGGUCGAAUGACUUGGGGGUGGAGUUAAGGGGGGAGCUAUAUAGACAGCUCUGCUGUGGUGCUCUCUUUGCUACUUCCUGUCAGGAAGGACAAUAUCCCACAAGUUAGGAUGAAUCCAUGGACUCGAUACAUCGCAAAAGAAAGAAAUUGAUCAGGUAAGCAUAAAUUUUGUUUUUAGCUACUGAAAGUAUGUCACAGGAUGAUUCUCAGUCAGAAGGGAAUCAGGUUAUGCCAUCUAAUUCUCCCCAAGUGUCACAACCAUUAACGCCCGCGCAAGCGACGCCAAGUACUUCUAGUGCGUGUAAUUCUUUCACCCUGCAAGAUAUGGCAGCAGUUAUGAAUACUACCCUCACAGAGGUUUUAUCUAAGCUGCCUGGGUUGCAGGGGAAGCGCAGUAGGUCUGGUGUGAGAACAAACGCUGAGCCCUCUGACACUUUAUUAGCCAUAUCCUAUGUACCCUCACAAUGUUCUGAAGUGAGGGAUUUGCUGGCUGAGGGAGAGAUUUCUGAUUCAGGAAAUAUGUUCCCUCAGACAGAUUCAGAUAUGACGGCUUUUAAAUUUAAAUUAGAACACCUCCGCUUAUUGCUCAGGAAGAUUUUAGAGACUCUGGAUGAUUGUGACCCUAUUGUAGUUCCAGAGAAAUUGUGUAAAAUGGACAGAUUCCUAGAGGUUCCUGCCUACACUGAUGUUUUUCCGGUCCCUAAGAGGAUUUCAGAAAUUGUUACUAAGGAGUGGGAUAGACCAGGUAUUCCGCUCGCUCCCCCUCCUACUUUUAAGAAAAUGUUUCCCAUAUCUGAUGCCGUGCGGGACUCGUGGCAGACGGUCCCUAAGGUGGAGGGAGCUAUUUCUACCCUGGCUAAGCGUACAACUAUACCUAUUGAGGACAGUUGUGCUUUCAAAGAUCCUAUGGAUAAAAAAUUAGAGGGUCUUCUGAAGAAAAUAUUUGUUCACCAAGGUUUUCUUCUCCAACCUAUAGCGUGCAUUGUUCCUGUAACUACUGCAGCGUCCUUUUGGUUCGAGGCUCUGGAAGAGGCACUUCAGGUUGAGACCCCAUUAGAUGAUAUUCUGGAUAGAAUUAGGGCUCUCAAGCUAGCUAAUUCUUUCAUUACAGAUGCCUCUUUUCAAUUGGCUAAAUUAGCGGCGAAUAAUUCAGGUUUUGCCAUUUUAGCGCGUAGAGCGUUAUGGCUUACGUCCUGGUCUGCUGAUGUGUCAUCAAAAGCUAAGCUUUUAGCCAUCCCUUUCAAGGGUAAGACCCUAUUCGGGCCUGAACUGAAAGAGAUCAUUUCAGACAUCACUGGAGGGAAAGGCCAUGCCCUUCCUCAGGAUAAGACGAAUAAGAUGAGGACCAAACAAAAUAAUUUUCGUUCCUUUCGGAAAUUCAAAGGUGGUCCCUCUACCUCUUCCCCUGCCGCAAAGCAAGAGGGGAAUUUUGCUCAAUCCAAGUCAGUCUGGAGACGUAACCAGACUUGGAACAAGGGUAAACAGGCCAAGAAGCCCGCUGCUGCCACCAAGACAGCAUGAAGAGGUAGCCCCAGAUCCGGGACCGGAUCUAGUAGGGGGCAGACUUUCUCUCUCCGCUCAGGCUUGGGCAAGAGACGUUCAGGACUCCUGGGCUUUAGAAAUAGUAACCCAGGGGUAUCUUCUAGAUUUCAAAGAUUCUCCCCCAAGGGGGAGAUUCCAUCUUUCACAAUUGUCUGUAAACCAGACAAAAAGAGAGGCGUUCUUACGCUGUGUAGAAGACCUAUAUUCCAAGGGAGUGAUCUGCCCAGUUCUGAAAAUAGAACAGGGGCAAGGGUUCUACUCCAAUCUGUUUGUGGUUCGAAAAAAAAAGAGGGAACCUUCAGACCAAUUUUGGACCUCAAAAUCCUAAACAAAUUCCUCAGAGUCCCAUCCUUCAAGAUGGAGACCAUUCGGACUAUUUUGCCAAUGAUCCAGGAGGGUCAAUAUAUGACCAGCGUGGACUUAAAGGAUGCGUAUCUACACAUUCCUAUCCACAAAGAUCAUCACCAGUUCCUCAGGUUCGCCUUUCUGGACAAGCAUUACCAGUUUGUGGCUCUUCCCUUCGGGUUGGCCACAGCUCCCAGAAUUUUCACAAAGGUGCUUGGGUCCCUUCUGGCAGUUCUAAGGCCGCGGGGCAUAGCUGUGGCGCCUUAUCUGGACGAUAUCUUAAUCCAGGCGUCAACUUUCCAACUAGCCAAGUCUCACACGGGCAUCAUGGUGGCUUUUCUAAGAUCUCACGGGUGGAAGGUGAACAUACAGAGAGAGUUCACUUAUCCCUCUCACAAGAGUUCCUUUCCUGGGAACUGUGAUACAUUCGGUGGACAUGAAAAUCUUUCUGACGGAGGUCAGGAAAUCAAAAAUUUUAUCCAUCUGCCGAGCUCUUCAUUCCAUUCCUCGCCCGUCAGUGGCUCAGUGUAUGGAGGUAAUCGGCUUAAUGGUAGCGGCAAUGGACAUAGUUCCGUUUGCUCGCUUGCAUCUCAGACCACUGCAACUUUGCAUGCUCAAACAGUGGAAUGGGGAUUAUGCAGAUUUAUCUCCUCAGAUAAAUCUGGACCAAGAGACCAGAGACUCUCUUCUUUGGUGGUUGUCACAGGAUCAUCUGUCCAAGGGAAUGUGUUUCCGCAGGCUAGCGUGGGUCAUAGUGACGACGGACGUCAGCCUAUUGGGCUGGGGUGCAGUUUGGAAUUCCCUGAAAGCACAGGGAUUGUGGACUCGGGAGGAAGCUCUCCUCCCGAUAAAUAUUCUAGAACUGAGAGCGAUCUUCAACGCGCUUCAGGCAUGGCCUCAGCUGGCGUCGGCCAGAUUCGUAAGAUUCCAGUCGGACAAUAUCACGACUGUAGCAUAUAUCAAUCAUCAGAGGGGAAAAAAAAGAGUUCUCUAGCGAUGAUAGAGUUUACCAAAAUAAUUAAAUGGGCAGAGACUCUCACUCUUGCCAUCUAUCAGCAAUCUAUAUCCCAGGAGUGGAGAACUGGGAAGCGGAUUUUCUAAGUCGUCAGACUUUUCAUCCGGGGGAGUGGGAACUCCAUCCGGAGGUGUUUGCACAAUUGAUUCAGCAAUGGGGCACACCAGAAUUGGAUCUGAUGGCGUCUUGUCAGAAGCCAAACUUCCAAAACGGGUCCAGGUCAAGGGAUCCUCAGGCAGUACUGAUAGAUGUUCUAGCAGGUACCCUGGUCGUUCAACCUGGCUUAUGUGUUUCCACCAUUUCCUCUCUUUCCUCGUUUGAUUGCCAGAAUCAAACAGGAGAGAGCUUCAGUGAUUUUGAUAGCACCUGCGUGGCCACGUAGGACUUGGUAUGUAGACCUGGUGGACAUGUCAUCUCUUCCACCAUGGACUCUGCCACUGAGACAGGACCUUCUGAUUCAAGGUCCGUUCCAGCAUUCAAAUCUAUUCUCUCUGCGACUGACUGCUUAGAGAUUGAACGCUUGAUCUUAUCCAAGCGGGGGUUCUCUGAGUCGGUCAUAGAUUGCUUGAUUCAGGCUCAAAAGCCUGUCACCAGGAAAAUUUAUCAUAAGAUAUGGUGUAAAUAUCUUUAUUGGUGCGAAUCCAAAGGCUACUCAUGGAGUAAGAUCAGGAUUCCUAGGAUUUUGUCCUUUCUCCAAGAAGGAUUGGAGAAGGGGCUAUCAGCUAGUUCCUUAAAGGGACAGAUAUCUGCUUUAUCAAUUCUACUGCCCAAACGUCUGGCAGAUGUUCCAGACGUUCAGUCGUUCUGUCAGGCUUUAGUUAGAAUCAAGCCUGUGUUUAAACCUGUUGCUCCGCCAUGGAGUUUGAAUUUAGUUCUUAAGGUUCUUCAAGGGGUUCCGUUUGAACCUAUGCAUUCCAUAGAUAUUAAGCUUCUAUCUUGGAAAGUUCUUUUUUUAGUUGCUAUCUCUUCGACUCGAAGAGUUUCUGAAUUAUGUGCAUUGCAAUGCGACUCUCCUUAUCUUGUUUUCAUGCGGAUAAGGUGGUUUUGCGUACCAAACCUGGAUUCCUUCCUAAGGUUGUUACUAAUAAGAAUAUUAAUCAGGAAAUUGUUGUUCCUUCUCUGUGUCCUAAUCCUUCCUCUAAGAAGGAGCGUUUAUUGCACAAUUUGGACGUGGUUCGUGCUUUAAAGUUUUACUUGCAAGCGACCAAAGAUUUCCGUAAAACAUCUUCUUUGUUUGUUGUCUAUUCUGGAAAACGUAGAGGUCAAAAAGCUACGGCUACCUCUCUUGCCUUUUGGCUGAAAAGCAUCAUCCGUUUGGCAUACAAGACUGCUGGACAGCAGCCUCCUGAAAGAAUUACAGCUCACUCUACUAGAGCGGUGGCUUCCACAUGGGCUUUUAAAAAUGAUGCUUCUGUUGAACAGAUUUGUAAGGCUGCGACUUGGUCUUCGCUUCAUACCUUUUCCAAAUUUGAUACCUUUGCUUCUUCAGAGGCUAUUUUUGGGAGAAAAGUUCUUCAAGCAGUGGUGCCUUCUGUUUAACCAUCUGUCUUGUCCCUCCCGUUCAUCCAUGUCCUGUAGCUUUGGUAUUGUAUCCCACAAGUAAAGGAUGAAUCUGUGGACUCGUCUUACCUUUAUAGAAGAAAAGUAAAUUUAUGCUUACCUGAUAAAUUAAUUUCUUCUAUGGUAAGACGAGUCCACGGCCCGCCCUGUCAUUUUAAGACAGAUAUUUUUUUUAUUUAAACUUCAGUCACCUCUGCACCUUUUGUAGUUUCUCCUUUUCCUUCCUGUAGCUUCGGUCGAAUGACUGGGGGGUGGAGCUAAAGGAGGAGCUAUAUAGACAUCUCUGCUGUGGUGCUCUUUGCCACUUCCUGUUAGCAGGAGGAUAAUAUCCCACAAGUAAAGGAUGAAUCCGUGGACUCGUCUUACCAUAGAAGAAAUUAAUUUAUCAGGUAAUCAUAAAUUUACUUUUUAAAGAUCGCUCCGAAACGGGGCCCACAAAACCGCCGCUAUCUUGAAGCCCUGACAGGCUGUAAGAGACCAUGCUGCGCAGCACACGCUGACAAAAAGUUCCACACCAGGAGCGAGUAAAAAAGGAGCAAAUUGAAGCACCAUAAGAUACUACUACAUAUAAUUAUAUAGAACUACUACUGUUCUGCCUGUUCUUUGAUAAAUGCUUAACAUGGUGAAGAUGUCCCUGUACAUAGCACAUUAAAUUCCUAAGCACUUUGAACGCACUGCUUAUGUGAGUUGGACACUUUAACGAUAACAUCCACAACUUAUAUUGAUAGCUCUGCACAACGGAUGUUUGCAAAGAUGGACUUAAUUACCCACUUGAUAUAGGCAGCGAGCUUAAGAUAACAGCCAAUACCCCUAAUCUAGGAACACCACAUCCAUAUUAGCAACUACUAAGCCUCCAGCUUCAAAAACCCAGAUACUGGUCUCUUUGUCAUCAGAAGACGAAGAAAAUGAUACGUCAGAAACCACUCAGAUAUCCACGACUCUAUUACACUCAAUGCCGUCUAAGCAAGAUUUUGAUAACCUGGUGACACAGGUAUGCCAAUGUAUCAAGGAAGAAAUAACUGGCCUUAGAAAAGAGGUUACGGAGAUUGGUCAAAAAGUUGAAGCUUUGGAGGAAGAUAAUGACCUUAACCAGUCAGAGCUAUCCAAUCUACAAACAGCCAACACUCAUGAUCUACAGAUCCUCCAACUUCAAGAUAAAAUUGAAGACCUGGAAAACAGGGAAAGGCGACAGAAUCUCUGAAUCUAUUCUUCCCAACACUCUCUCUGAGUUUCUAACAGGCCUAUUCCCACAUCUCAUGGGCCCAUCUACAACUUACGAUACCACCAUGUAUAGAGCACACAGUGCCCUAAGGCACAAGCCUCCAGAGCAAGCUCCACCGAGAGACGUAAUAUUAAAGUUAAAAGACUUCCAAGCAAAAGAAGAAAUCCUAAAAGCGGCAAGACAGCAGAAAAACAUCACAUAUCAAAAUUGCUGUAUCCAAGUUUAUACUGAUCUCGCACUCUACAGAGGAGGAAGGAAUUUCAACCCCUCACUACAAUCCUUAGAGCACAAGGAAUUUCAUACCAUUGGAGUUUCCCUUGUUUUCUCAUGGUGACACAUCAAGGUGAGAAAUGUAUCUGCAAAUCAAUGAAGGAAGCCUAACCUUUCUGCACCUCACUUGGCAUAUCGCCACCCAAGGGACUUCCUAUAUCGGAUGAUCAGUCCUCCAUGAGACAAUCUACACAGCCUCGACCUCCAAGAGCCCGGGGCAAAUAGCUCCAGCUAAAAAAACUGAAGAAACACCCUGCUGGACCUUCAGAAGAGCAAACUUGACAAUUAGGACACUACAUAAUUUGAUAAAGUACAAAUAUUUCAAAGAGACUGAACAGUCCUGUGGUUCAUAUAGGUUUCCCUCACAUUAAAGGAGCAAAUGGAGUUUGAUGAAGUUCCGGUUUACUACUCUGAUGAGGAAUGGGAUUGCUUAAAUGAAGAACAGAGGAAACUUUAUAAAGAUCUGACGAUCGAGAAUAACCAGAUUCUCAGGUCACUGGUGAGAGAUUUUAAGACAAAGGGUCAAAAAUAUGAUGGUGCGUCCAGGUGGAAGGUGAGGGAACGAGCCGAGAGAUAUACGGUGGAAGAGAAAGAGGUUCUGAUCAGGGAAGUUCUGGCGAGAGAGGACAUCCUGUGGAGUAAAAACCCCUGGAGUGCGGAGAGGAGCAAAGCCUGGAAGGAUAUCACUGCAGCCGUCUGUCGCGUGGGGCGUCUCCGCACAGUCUCUUCGGUUAAACACAGGUUUCAUGACUGCAGGUCAGAGGUCAGGAAGAAGAUGGAACAGGCAGCAGUGGGCAAGGAGGUUACAUUUGCCCACUGGGAGGAAAUGCUGAGGCGCUACUUGCUUGGAGCUUCAACGGCCGACUCCGGAGAGCAGUCUGAGGGUAACGCAUUUGUUUUAUAUUCUAAUUUUAUACACAAGAUCACACGUGGGUCUAACUUAAGUACAGUUAUAAUCAUUUAUACACAAGAUCACACGUGGGUCUAACUUAAGUACAGUUAUAAUCAUUUAUACACAAGAUCACACGUGGGUCUAACUUAAGUACAGUUAUAAUCAUUUAUACACAAGAUCACACGUGGGUCUAACUUAAGUACAGUUAUAAUCAUUUAUACACAAGAUCACACGUGGGUCUAACUUAAGUACAGUUAUAAUAAUUUAUACACAAGAUCACACUGGGUCUAACUUAAGUACAGUUAUAAUCAUUUAUACACAAGAUCACACGUGGGUCUAACUUAAGUACAGUUAUAAUCAUUUAUACACAAGAUCACACGUGGGUCUAACUUAAGUACAGUUAUAAUCAUUUAUACACAAGAUCACACGUGGGUCUAACUUAAGUACAGUUAUAAUAAUUUAUACACAAGAUCACACUGGGUCUAACUUAAGUACAGUUAUAAUCAUUUAUACACAAGAUCACACUGGGUCUAACUUAAGUACAGUUAUAAUCAUCUAUACACAAGAUCACAAUGGAUCUAACUUAAGUACAGUUAUAAUCAUUUAUACACAAGAUCACACGUGGGUCUAACUUAAGUACAGUUAUAAUCAUCUAUACACAAGAUCACACUGGGUCUAACUUAAGUACAGUUGUAAUAAUUUAUACACAAGAUCACAAUGGAUCUAACUUAAGUACAGUUAUAAUCAUUUAUACACAAGAUCACACUGGGUCUAACUUAAGUACAGUUAUAAUCAUCUAUACACAAGAUCACACUGGGUCUAACUUAAGUACAGUUGUAAUAAUUUAUACACAAGAUCACAAUGGAUCUAACUUAAGUACAGUUAUAAUCAUUUAUACACAAGAUCACACUGGGUCUAACUUAAGUACAGUUAUAAUCAUUUAUACACAAGAUUACACUGGGUCUAACUUAAGUACAGUUAUAAUCAUUUAUACACAAGAUCACACGUGGGUCUAACUUAAGUACAGUUAUAAUCAUUUAUACACAAGAUCACACGUGGGUCUAACUUAAGUACAGUUAUAAUCAUUUAUACACAAGAUCACACGUGGGUCUAACUUAAGUACAGUUAUAAUCAUUUAUACACAAGAUCACACGUGGGUCUAACUUAAGUACAGUUAUAAUCAUUUAUACACAAGAUCACACUGGGUCUAACUUAAGUACAGUUAUAAUCAUUUAUACACAAGAUCACACUGGGUCUAACUUAAGUACAGUUAUAAUCAUCUAUACACAAGAUCACAAUGGAUCUAACUUAAGUACAGUUAUAAUCAUUUAUACACAAGAUCACACGUGGGUCUAACUUAAGUACAGUUAUAAUCAUUUAUACACAAGAUCACACGUGGGUCUAACUUAAGUACAGUUAUAAUCAUUUAUACACAAGAUCACACGUGGGUCUAACUUAAGUACAGUUAUAAUCAUUUAUACACAAGAUCACACGUGGGUCUAACUUAAGUACAGUUAUAAUAAUUUAUACACAAGAUCACACUGGGUCUAACUUAAGUACAGUUAUAAUCAUUUAUACACAAGAUCACACUGGGUCUAACUUAAGUACAGUUAUAAUC